CCUCGUCAUCCUGGAUGUUGACGUCGGCGCCGUGACCCAGCAGCGCCCGGACCAUGUCCAUCCUGCCAUGACUGACCGCCAGCAUCAGCCCCGUCUGACCCGCCUGCAGCCCGCUGCUGCGUUCUGCCGCUGCCUCUUCACCUCUCGUUUCCUACCUGACUGGCUCUGGCGUUGACGUCUCCCUUGCUGAAGAGCUCCUCCACUAUCCUCAUGUCCCUGGGCGUCUCCACGGCAGCGAGGGCGGCGAGCAUGAUGGGCGUGUAUCCCGCCUUGUUCUGCUGGUUCACGUUACACACAUCUGAAACGGACACACAGCGGCGGGUUAAAGCAGCUCCCGGCUGACUUUUCUCUUUCCAUCCUGGGUGGUCUGAGCGGGAAUCAAACCCUUCAGGCUGCGAUUGACUCGUCCGUGUCGCCGCCUGUCGCUCAGCAGCACAAUAACGAACACGGCGUGGUGUCAGGACGGUGAUGGACUGUCUGGACACUAAACAGCUCAUCUUUACUCUAUGAGCUGCCUCAGUGUCAGAGCUACGCAAAAAAAAGAAGAAAGCCUUGAGACAUCAGAGCCGGGAUGGAAGUGCAGCGAGGGGAGGCCUUAAGGAACUGGGACGGAGCGAGCACAAAGGCUACAAUGGGACCAGGGGGGUGGAUUUGCUGUCACAGAGGACAAGGACACAAAAGGGCGAGCAGACAAAAGGCUUUUGGAGCAGCGAGUGGCCGGGACCUCAUCUCAGUCUAUUGAGGGUUCAGAGGGAUCUGAAGCUGCAUGGAUGAGGACGAAACCUGCUCCAGAACUUUAAACAGCAACUGUACUCUCCUUCUGUGCAGCUGCACAAACACCAGUGUGCAUUAGUGUCCAUUUCCUCUUUGUUUCCUUUUGCUUUUGAGAUUUUCUGGCCUCUGAAUAAGCUGCACAAAUACGACAUAUUACAUUACUAAUCACAGUUUAACAGCUACAACCGGCUCUUUGUGACGUUCUUAAAGCUUCCACUCCACAGUUUUACACACUAUUGUAGAUUUACAGUACUGUUUAAUGUUAUUUUAGGAUAAACUUUUUUGACCUUGAAAGUGAACUCAGUUUGUUUUGCAGUUCUGUCUACAGGUUUUGUAGGACACAGUACAUAUCUUAUGUGUAUUUAGAUGUUUGUAGUUUGUUUUAGUAACAUAAAAACCACUGAUUAGAUAGUUUGAGCCUUAUUCUGUGAAAAACUCUCGACUACUAAUCUACUAUUUGAAGGUGACAGCAGAGAUACAGACAGAAAAUAAAGUUUUUUGCCCUUACGUGGACAGGUUUGGAGCACAUGGUAAAUAUCUUGUGUUGUGCUUCUUAUGCAUGUCUUAUAUGUGUGUUUAGAUGUUUUAAUAUGUCACAAAUAUAAGCACCAUCGGUAAGACAGUUUUAGCUUUUUUUCCUUUUAAAACGACUGAAACUACUGACUACUCAUGUAAUAUUUGAAGUGGAAAUAGACAGAAAAUGCAGGAAAGAACGAACAGUUGAUAAAUGUCUUGUAUUUUAUGUUCAUUGUGUAUGUUUUAUUUACGUUUUAGCGAUAUAUAAACCAUCCAUGAGACAGUGUGUGAAAAGUUCAGUAAAAAUACUGAAACUACAGACUACUAAUCUAUUAUUUGAAGCAGGGACACAGAUAGAAAAUGCAAAGAAGUAGAGGUUUUUUUUGGUAAAUGGUAAAUUUCUAAUAUGUUACUGUCCGUUGUGCACAUCUUAUAUAUACUUUCAAUAUGUUUUAGUAGUAGAACAACUGUUCAAUAGACAGUGUGAGCCUUUGUUCUGUACAAAAAACACCUAAACUACUGACUACUCAUCUAUUAUUUCGAGGUGACAGUAGAGAUGCAGUCAGAAAAUUCAGGAAGGAUAAAGAGAGCAGACUUUGUAGUAACCUGAUUAAAGAUUACAAGAAGAGAAGGAGCAGUGUGGAGAGUUCAGGAAAAGAAAAGCUUCUGAACAAAAAAGCAAAAAAACAAAACCUUGGCUGCACUUUAAAACAAAACUCAUAAUCCCAAGAUUGAAUAAACCAGGAAGGCUUUCAAACA